AUGGACACGGGGGCCGUGCCCGCCGGCUUCGCCACCACCACA
rnacentral:sRNA from 14 species